rnacentral:rRNA from 1 species
AGAGUUUGAUUAUGGCUCAGGAUGAACGCUGGCGGCGUGCCUAACACAUGCAAGUCGAACGAAGCAUUUUCUUGGAGAUUCGUCGAAGAGGGAUUUGACUUAGUGGCGGACGGGUGAGUAAUGUAUGAGCAACCUGCCUUUCAGAGGGGGACAACAGUUGGAAACGACUGCUAAUACCGCAUAAUGUAUCGAGGGGGCAUCCUCUUGAUACCAAAGGAGCAAUCCGCUGAAAGAUGGGCUCAUAUCUGAUUAGUUAGUUGGUGGGGUAACGGCCUACCAAGACUGCGAUCAGUAGCCGGACUGAGAGGUUGAACGGCCACAUUGGGACUGAGAUACGGCCCAGACUCCUACGGGAGGCAGCAGUGGGGAAUAUUGGGCAAUGGGCGAAAAAGCCUGACCCAGCAACGCCGCGUGAAGGAAGAAGGUCUUCGGAUUGUAAACUUCUUUGACGAGGGACGAUAGUGACGGUACCUCGAAAACAAGCCACGGCUAACUACGUGCCAGCCGCGGC